GGCCGAGUAGGUGGCAAGUUGUAGCCUUGCUUACGGGGCCGUGCCCCCCC
rnacentral:tRNA from 1 species